UGAUAGAACUGGCAGGGGAGAUACCAUGAUCACUAAGGUGGUUCUCCCAGGACGAGGCUCAUCCAUUGCACUUCGGGUGUGCUGACCCCUGCGAUUUCCCCAAAUGCGGGAAACUCGACUGCAUAAUUUGUGGUAGUUACACAACUUUAU
rnacentral:snRNA from 1 species